AUUGUUUGUUCUCACAAUGAAUCUGAGUAGUAGAUAUAGCAUGCCCAUUUUCCAGGUAAGGAAACUGAGGGUUAGAGAGAUUCUGUAACUUGUGCAAGGUUAUAGGCUCUAAGUAGCAGAUUAGUUCUGACUGGAGGCCAGCGUUUCCUCGGGCCUCUGUGACAUCACAACGCAAUGGGAGUAUGACUUGGGCAGCUCCAGCUGGCUCCUCUGCUAGUCUUGCCGCAGUCACCAGUUUUGGAGGAAUGGGAGAGGAGCUUUCCACUCCUCUGAGAGUCAUGUCGAGAGUCUGUCUUAGCCCUCGACCCCUCAGUCUUUGUAGAUCUCAUCCCAGAACCCCGAGGGAGAGGAGAAGUUCUGGUCUCUCCUCGGUGCUGCGGCUGCCCCGGGAAGAGUUUCCAGGAGCUGACAAGCAUUCAGAUGAGUAAAGAUGGGAUCGGAUUGAGAAAAGGAGAAGGGAGAGCAUAUUCGUUCUCUUUCCACCUCCCUCCCACAGCCUUUCAUGCUGAUCUCAUCUGACGAAGCUGCCUCCUCCUCCCUGGACUCUACAAGCCCCUGUCAUGAUGUUUCUCAGAUCCUGAAUUCCAGCGAAACAGAUGAUACUAACAAGUUUGAAGACCCCCACAGAGGAAUGGAAUCAGUAUGAGAACACAGUUUCUUCAUCUCCCUGUCCCAGAACUUCACCCUGGACUCCUCGACCAAUCAACAAUCUCCACACUUCGGCCCACUCCAAAACUCCUAAAAUCCCAAGCUCCAAACUCCUCUGGGAGAUGGAUUUGAGGCUUCCUCCCGUUUCCUUGUGUGGAAGCCCUGUCAUUAAACCUCUUUCUCUGCUGCAACCUG
rnacentral:lncRNA from 1 species